rnacentral:lncRNA from 10 species
CAAUGACCCAGCAGGCAGGGAGCAAGGAAAUUAACAGUCUUACCUCAUUCUCCUAUCAACCCCAAUCUGCCACCAGGCUUCCCACUGACAGAACCUCAUGGAACCUAGAGGGCAAGGGAUUCAGUAGACACGGUCCAUGCAGGUGCUGAAGAUACAGAGAUAAAGACACCAUCAGAUGGGGAUAAGAGAAAUAAUCAAACCAUCACCUUAUGGCCUACUGAGAAUGAUAAGGGGAGAGAGUAAGAAAGCAAUGAGAUACACAUGUCUUGACUGCUUCUCUUCAUGCUGAAAUCCUGGGGGAAAGAAGUGCUAAAUCAGUUGAGGACAUGGGAACAUUUAUUCUGGAAGAAAUUUGGGUACAGAGACAGACAAGCACCAAGAGAAGAUGAUGUGAAGAAGCACAGCGAGAACACCAUGUGAAAAUGGAGGACUGGAAUGAAGCAUCUACAAGCCAGGAAAUGUCUGAGGCUACCAGAAGCCAGGAGAGAGGCCUGGAACAGAUCCUGCACUAGAACCUUCAAAGAGAGCAUGGUCCUGCUGACAUGUUGAUUUUGGACUUCUGGCCUCCAGAGCUGUGAGAAUAAAUUUCAGUUGUUUUAAGCCAUCCAGUUUUUGGUACCUUAUUAUGGCAGCCCUAGCAAACUAAUAUAGACUCCGAUAAGAAUUCAACUGAUAUAUGCCAUGAAAUUUAGUAUAUCAUCAGGACUGGGAGAAACUGGUAACUUUAUAGGUGAAUAUGAAAGAUGAUAGGGAUAACUG